rnacentral:rRNA from 1 species
AACGAACGCUGGCGGCAUGCCUAACACAUGCAAGUCGAACGAGACCUUCGUGUCUUGUUGCGCACGUGUGCGUAACGCGUGGGAACCUGCCCUUAGGUUCGGAAUAACUCCCCGAAAGGGGUGCUAAUACCGGAUAAUGUCUUCGGACCAAAGAUUUAUCGCCUUUGGAUGGGCCCGCGUUGGAUUAGCUAGUUGGUAGGGUAAAAGCCUACCAAGGAGACGAUCCAUAGCUGGUCGGAGAGGAUGAUCAGCCACACUGGGACUGAGACACGGCCCAGACUCCUACGGGAGGGAGCAGAGGGGAAUAUUGGACGAUGAGCGAAAGCCUGAUAAAGCAAUGCCGGGUGAGUGAUGAAGGCGUUAGGGUUGUAAAGCUCUCUUACCCGGGAUGAUAAUGACAGUACCGGGAGAAUAAGCACCGGCUAACUCCGUG